AAAUUCUUCCACCAAUUGGACGCCAAGUCUGAUGAGCACGCCGCGUGAGUGAAGAAGGGUUUCGGCUCGUAAGCUCUGUGGUAGUGAAGAAAGAUAGAGGUAGUAACUGGCCUUUAUUUGACGGUAAUUACUUAGAAAGUCACGGCUAACUACGUGCCAGCAGCCGCGGUAAUACGUAGGUGGCAAGCGUUGUCCGGAUUUAUUGGGCGUAAAGCGAGUGCAGGCGGUUCAAUAAGUCUGAUGUGAAAGCCUUCGGCUCAACCGGAGAAUUGCAUCAGAAACUGUUGAACUUGAGUGCAGAAGAGGAGAGUGGAACUCCAUGUGUAGCGGUGGAAUGCGUAGAUAUAUGGAAGAACACCAGUGGCGAAGGCGGCUCUCUGGUCUGCAACUGACGCUGAGGCUCGAAAGCAUGGGUAGCGAACAGGAUUAGAUACCCUGGUAGUCCAUGCCGUAAACGAUGAGUGCUAAGUGUUGGGAGGUUUCCGCCUCUCAGUGCUGCAGCUAACGCAUUAAGCACUCCGCCUGGGGAGUACGACCGCAAGGUUGAAACUCAAAGGAAUUGACGGGGGCCCGCACAAGCGGUGGAGCAUGUGGUUUAAUUCGAAGCAACGCGAAGAACCUUACCAGGUCUUGACAUCCAGUGCAAACCUAAGAGAUUAGGAGUUCCCUUCGGGGACGCUGAGACAGGUGGUGCAUGGCUGUCGUCAGCUCGUGUCGUGAGAUGUUGGGUUAAGUCCCGCAACGAGCGCAACCCUUGUCAUUAGUUGCCAUCAUUAAGUUGGGCACUCUAAUGAGACUGCCGGUGACAAACCGGAGGAAGGUGGGGAUGACGUCAAGUCAUCAUGCCCCUUAUGACCUGGGCUACACACGUGCUACAAUGGACGGUACAACGAGAAGCGAACCUGCGAAGGCAAGCGGAUCUCUGAAAGCCGUUCUCAGUUCGGACUGUAGGCUGCAACUCGCCUACACGAAGCUGGAAUCGCUAGUAAUCGCGGAUCAGCACGCCGCGGUGAAUACGUUCCCGGGCCUUGUACACACCGCCCGUCACACCAUGAGAGUCUGUAACACCCAAAGCCGGUGGGAUAACCUUUAUAGGAGUCAGCCGUCUAAGGUAGGACAGAUGAUUAGGGUGAAGUCGUAACAAGAGCUUAGCC
rnacentral:rRNA from 1 species